ACCAUGAUGUAGACAGCCACAUGAAGGCAGUAUAUGCAAAGAAGUCCAAAUCUAAGGAUGUUGAUAAUAGAUGUGGUGAUUCACACUGGAGGGCUACAAACAACCAUGGCAAAAAAGCAGCCAAACUUGACGAGACUGGACUUGAGACUGCAGGUUGCAGGCAUGGCUUGGCCCAGUGGGCAAUGAACAUGUUCCAGGGAGUUGUAUAGCUAUGCAAACUUUAUACAUCAGAAAAAAAUGAUACCAGCCAGUGUCAAUUUUGGGAAGAUAUAGUUUGCAAAUAUUGGAAGUGGGCUGGAAAAGCUGGGGGAUUAGGAAACUGUGAUAUGAAACCAGCCUUGUCAGUAAUGCAUGCAAAAGCUCACAGUUGGACAUGUCAGGUAUAAAUUAUAAUGUUUAUACAUGUGUAGUUUCUUAAAGUUUGUAAAUGAAAGCUAAUCUGAAUUAUAAGUUACACAAAUUUGAACAAGUUACACAAUAAGAUCUACUACUAUUAUUUAUG